GAUGAACGCUGGCGGCGUGCCUAAUACAUGCAAGUCGAGCGAACAGACGAGGAGCUUGCUCCUCUGACGUUAGCGGCGGACGGGUGAGUAACACGUGGAUAACCUACCUAUAAGACUGGGAUAACUUCGGGAAACCGGAGCUAAUACCGGAUAAUAUAUUGAACCGCAUGGUUCAAUAGUGAAAGACGGUUUUGCUGUCACUUAUAGAUGGAUCCGCGCCGCAUUAGCUAGUUGGUAAGGUAACGGCUUACCAAGGCGACGAUGCGUAGCCGACCCGAGAGGGUGAUCGCCCACACUGGCACUGAGACAGGGUCCAGACUCCUACGGGAGGCAGCAGUAGGGAAUCUUCCGCAAUGGGCGAAAGCCUGACGGUGCAACGCCGCGUGAAUGAUGAAGGUCUUCGGAUCGUAGAACUCUGUUAUUAGGGAAGAACAAAUGUGUAAGUAACUAUGCACGUCUUGACGGUACCUAAUCAGAAAGCCACGGCUAACUACGUG
rnacentral:rRNA from 1 species